AGAGUUGAUUAUGGCUCAGGAUGAACGCUAGCGACAGGCUAACACAUGCAAGUCGAGGGGCAGCACGGGAGUAGCGAUACAACUGGUGGCGACCGGCGCACGGGUGAGUAACGCGUAUGCAACCUACCUAUCAGAGGGGAAUAACCCGGCGAAAGUCGGACUAAUACCGCAUAAAACAGGGGCACCGCAUGGUGAUAUUUGUUAAAGAGAUUCGCUGAUAGAUGGGCAUGCGUUCCAUUAGGUAGUUGGUGAGGUAACGGCUCACCAAGCCGACGAUGGAUAGGGAACUGAGAGGUUGGUCCCCCACACUGGUACUGAGACACGGACCAGACUCCUACGGGAGGCAGCAGUGAGGAAUAUUGGUCAAUGGGCGGGAGCCUGAACCAGCCAAGUCGCGUGAAGGAAGAAGGAUCUAUGGUUCGUAAACUUCUUUUGCAGGGGAAUAAAGUGCAGGACGUGUCCUGUUUUGUAUGUACCCUGAGAAUAAGGAUCGGCUAACUCCGUGCCAGCCGCGGC
rnacentral:rRNA from 1 species